GAGGAAAGGUAUAAAAAGAAGAUGCAGUAAAAAGAUACAGAUUCCUCUUUUUUUUUCCCCUCUUAGUGUUAAAUAAUAAUUAAUACUUUUUUCAGUCUUAAACUUACAAAUACCAUAUUAGAUAUUAUUACGAAGAUUUUAUUGAAUAAAAUAUAUGCUAUUUAGCAAUUAAGAUUUUGGUUUAUGCCUUUCCUAGUUUGGCUACAAUUGACACCAAUGUGAAAGGCUAUGUAUAUACUUGACAAAAUUCAAAGGAUUCACCAUAAUUGCAAAUCUCAUCAAAAUUUUGGAUUUUUAUGGUCAUUAACUAAUUUCUUAAUGGCUCUAGGAACUCCUUCACAAAAAUAAUGGCCGAAAUUUUACAUCAUUUAAAAAAUCAUGUUCCUCAACUUAUAAUUUUGUAAAAGUAAUUUGAGCCAUUCUCAUAUUUGUUCAUAUAGAUAUCAUCUGGAAUGCACUUCUAUAACAUAUCUAUAACAGAAAAUUUCUUACCAACUUCCUCCUGUUCAUU
rnacentral:misc_RNA from 1 species